UACGGGGGGGAGCAAGCGUUGUUCGGAUUUACUGGGCGUAAAGGGCGCGUAGGCGGCCACCGCAAGUCGAUUGUGAAAAUCUCCGGGCUUAACCCGGAAAGGUCAACCGAUACUGCGGGGCUAGAGUGCAGAAGGGGGCAACUGGAAUUCUCGGUGUAGCGGUGAAAUGCGUAGAUAUCUGGAGGAAUACCGGUGGCGAAGGCGGCAUCCUGGACCGGCAUUGACGCUGGUGAGCGAAAAGCUAGGGGGAGCAAACGGG
rnacentral:rRNA from 1 species